AGCCACAUCCCCCUGCUGUUCCGAAGCAUCACGUUUUCUAUUUGGAUUUGGAAAACACUUUGCUGUGGGGAUGUCAUGCAGACCAGGUACUCAGGGAGGUCUUAAUUCAAUAGACUUCCCAACUGCGGUGUGUCUCGUCCAUCACCACAUUGAAGAUGGUUGGUCAGCCACAGAGACACAGGGCAGGGAGAUCUGGAGCCUUCAAUAAAUCCUGCAGUGAGGUGCAUCAAUCCACUGGCUGCUUCCUGUAUCCCCUGAUUCUGGAAUAGACCAAUCGAUGCCUUGACUAUCUCUGCAGUCAGUUGCCUGAAAAAUGUUUGAUCCAAGCCAUUAGGUCCUGUCUACCUUUAGUCCUAUUAGUUGGUCAAUACUUUGUCCCUUGUGACAAAAACUGUUAAAACAUUUUUCUAUCCAUGAUUAACUUGCUUAUUUGUUACCUUUAGGAUGAUACCGCUAUCGUCUUCAUGAAGAUCAAUGUAAAAUAUAGGUUUACAUUAUCUGCUAUUUCUUUGUACUCAUUAUCAAUUCCACAGUCAGACCCUCCAAGGGUUCGAUGCUGACUUAAGAUACUCAAUGUUUAUGUACCUGUACAACUCUUGCUAUUCAUUUUUGUUUCUUGUCAAUUUAAUUACAUGAUCAGUUUUCUCCCUUUUUAGU